rnacentral:rRNA from 1 species
AUACCAGCACAAAUGCACCGGAUCCCAUCAGAACUCUGCAGUUAAGUGUGCUUGGGUGAGCGUAGUACUAGGAUGUGUGAACUCUUGGGAAGUCCUCGUGUUGCACCGC